UAUCCACUUGCAGAUUCUGCAAAAAGAGUGUUUCAACACUGCUCCUUCAAAACGAUGGUUUAGUUCUGUUAGUUGAGUACAUACAUCACAAAUAAGUUUCUGAGAAUGCUUCUGUCUAGAGUUUAUAUGAAGCCAUUCCCGUUUGCAACGAAAUCCUCAAAGCUAUCCAAAUAUCCUCUUGCAGAUUUUACAAAAAGAGUGUUUCAAAACUGCUCUUUGCAAAGAAAGGUUCAACUCUGUCAGUAGAGGGCACACAUCACAAACAAGUUUCUGAGAAUGCUUCUGUCUAGUUUUUAUGGGAAGAUAUGUCCUUUUUCAUGUUAGGCCU
rnacentral:lncRNA from 1 species